GACGUAGGGCGCGAGCGUUAUCCGGAUUUAUUGGGCGUAAAGAGCUCGUAGGCGGCUUGUCGCGUCGACUGUGAAAUCCCGCGGCUCAACCGCGGGUCUGCAGUCGAUACGGGCAGGCUAGAGUUCGGUAGGGGAGACUGGAAUUCCUGGUGUAGCGGUGAAAUGCGCAGAUAUCAGGAGGAACACCGAUGGCGAAGGCAGGUCUCUGGGCCGAUACUGACGCUGAGGAGCGAAAGCGUGGGGAGCGAACAGG
rnacentral:rRNA from 1 species